GGUUAGGGUUUGUUCAAAUCCUCAAUUUAAGCCAUUAUUUGCUUAUUUAUUUAUGUAUGGUAAGGAACAACUUGUCACAGGAGCUGUAAAUAGGUCAUACCAGAAUAUUCCUUGAACAAAAAAUAGACUGAUUGCAUAACCUUGAGUACUAAACACAGCAUUCUAUCUAUCUAUUCUAUCUAUUUUUCAAAAUGUACUUGCACGCUGACGUCAUAGUUUGCGAAUCUUGACGCGUUUUGGUAGCUGAGCGUUUCCGCCGCGUCCAGAACGUCAAACCCCCUACAGCUAAUUCACAAAAGACUCGCCGCCGUGCCGAGCGCUGUGAUUGGCUGAGGCCGGAGCCACAGGAAGCGGCGCUGGGCUCGCUGAUUGGCUGCCGUUCUCUUUGUGUGCGGGCAGCUGGCGUCUGGGCUGCAUUUUGAAUGGUCUCGUAUCGGAAGGCGAAGGUGUCCAUGGGCAGCACAGCAACAAAGGAGCCAGGAUGGUGUUAGUGCACGUCGGAUAUCUGGUUCUUCCCGUCUUCGGUUCGGUCAGAAGUAGAGAGCUCUGUUCCCUUCCAUUGUGUAUCUAACGAUCACCCGCCGCUGCUGUGCUAUAGCCUCUGCCUGCCCUGCAUCUAGCUGUGUUGUGACUCCCUCUUCUCAUUCCCUCUCUUUCCAUCUGAAGACGACAUUACAAACAAACUCUCACUCAUCCAGUGUAACAGACUGCAGAAUAACACUCUCUCUUCUCUAGAAGAAUCCUCUUGUCUUCUUAUUUUUAAAUGGUCAUUGUUGCUAAAAUAACAACUCAUUGUAGCAUUUAGCUUUUUUACGACUGUCAUUGUGAUUUGUCCCAUUCUCGGUGUGGAUAGACCAACAUUUUUGCUGUAAAUUUCUGUCAAGUGGAUGCAUUGGCCUCUCACUCGAUCAUAGCCGGGCUUGAUCGACCCCUAAACACUGUCUCUGUCUUUUGGGAAGGUGUGCUGUGCCGGUGGGAUUCGCCAGAGGGUUGGACUCAGAAACUUACUAGAGAAGCUUGAUGUAAAUUUUUCUAAUUAUGCAUGUACAGUUGGGAUCGACAAUAUCUCACUCAGUGACCCUUCGCUCUGUAGGUUCUGCCUCCCUAGGGUUACCCAUGAAUGAUUUAAUCAAAUUAAAUCUAUACCAUCUUCCUUAAAGGAAUAGUUUGCAUAAAUUCAAUUCUUUCAGUAUUUACUCACCUUUAUGUCAUUCAACCCCCAUAUGCUGUUAUUUGUUUUGUAGGAAAUAUAAAAUGUUAAAAGGAUAUUGAUGGGGCUCCAGAAAGGACGAGAAAAAAAAUAUAUAUAUACAUUUUUAUUUACUUAGUAAUGUUAGUGCUUCAGCGUAAACUUAUUUCAGGCAACAAUCCUUAUUUUUAGUUUAAAAACAAUUCUUCUAAUAUUAAUAUUUGAUUUGAUUUCAGCUUCCCCACUAACAAAAAUGGUUUUAGUAGUUUUGGGUAAAGUCAAUAACCCUGGUUUAAAUGACACAUACACUAUAUUUCAGGUCUUCUGAUGUCUUACGAGUGAAACUGAAGGUAUUAUUCACUAGUUUUCUUCGCUGUAGAACUGAAAUCUCAUUUGCAUUCAGUGGUUUUGAAGGUCAAAAAUACAAAUGGUUCUUUUAUGGAACUAAAUGUAAGUGAGUUAAAGCUGGCUGUUUAAGGAAAACAGCUGUAACAUAGAUCUAAAAAGACUUGUUUUGAGUUGCAUGGGAAAAUGACAGCAUAUGUGCGUAGAAUGACACGAGAGUGAGUGACUUCAUAUAUGACGUCAGGUAUGUAAUAUAUUUUUUGUACUUCCAUUGAUGUAUUAUCUUUAAUGGUCUGACUUUUUAUUAAUCCUCAAAGAGUAACAGAUGGAAACCAUAGAAAUGCUGCUAUUUCAAGACUUUUAACGGUUAAUAUCAAACACCUUUUAGAAGAGCAUACAUAUUACGUCAGAUAUGUUUGAUUUGAUAUGACUGUUAAAGUAAUAGUUCACUUAAAAAUUAAAAGUUGCUGAAAAUGUGCUCACCCUUUAGGCCAUCCAAGAUAUAGAUGAGUUUUUCUUCAUCAGAACAGGUUUGGAGAAAUUUAACUUAACGUCACCUGCUCAGCAAUGGAUCCUCUGCAGUGAAUGGGUGCCGUGAGAAUGAGAGUCUAAACAGCUGAUUAAAACAUCACAAUAAUCCACACAUCAUUCCAGUCCAUCAGUUAAUGUCUUGAAGUGUAAAGCUGUGUGUUUAUAAGCAGUAAAUCCAUCAUUAAAGCAUGUUAUCUUUUAAACGAGUCCUCUAUCCAUCCUAACGCUUACUCCAGUGAAAAAGUCGUCUCAUCUGGAUCAGGAGAGAAAUCUGCACAGAUCGCAGCUUCUCAAGACGUUAACUGAUGGACUGGAGUGGUGUUGAUUGUGAUGUUUUAAUCAGCUGGUUGGACUUUCAUUCUGACGGCACCCAUUCACUGCAGAGCAUCCAUUGGUGAGCAAGUGAUGCCAUGCUACAUUUCUCCAAACCUGAUGAAGAUACAAACUCCUCUACAUCUUGGAUGACCUAACGGUGAGUAAAUGUUCAGCAAAUGUUUAUUUUUAGGUGAUCUAUUCCUUUUAAAGAUGACUUAAAUGGUGUAUUUUAAGUAAAAAACAGUUGUCUUUAGUUUGAAGUAGUAAAAGGACAAAAACGAGUAUCUAAGCAUUAGUUUCUGGCUCUGGACUGGCACACUUCACCUGACCGUCGCUCAAACAGCCCCUCAUUCGUUCGAUUUGCCCAUGCUGCAAAAUUAGCAUUAGCCUAGCGCUACCGAGCGCUGUGCGAGUGCUAAUGUCAUCCACUUUACAGGGAUCACUAGAACUGCACUGUAGAAGUCCUUCUAGUAUGGAAAUGUCUCUAUUUCUUUGGUUGUGGUUCUCUGCCUUCUGUUCCUGUACUAGGCUGUAAUGCAUGACCAUGUUUGUUAUUUUCCUCUUGGUUUUGAUUGUUUCUUUGGUUUGGAACAUUGAACAGCAAACUCCAAUGUAUCUUUGUGUAGACAUGUCCUGCUGUACUGACGUGUUGUAGCAUACACAUCUACCCAUUGGAUGCUGCUUCUGUUAUGUUAACUUAAUGGAGCAUGGUCGGGCCUUGCCUUCGCUCUUUAUUUGCAUGGAAUUAUUAUUGCUAUUAUUAUGAUCACACAAUUCCACUCAUACUAAUAUUUUCCAAUAAAGACUGUAGAUGUUCCCUUAA